rnacentral:precursor_RNA from 11 species
AACCAGAACCUGUGUCCAGUCGUGAUCGGAUCGUAAAAAUGGUUGUGCUGUGUUGUUACGCUCGAAAUUCAUAUCACAGCCAUUUUGACGAGUUCGAUCCUGGAUCGUUAUAGUCGCCUUCGUC